AGUUACGCGUUCCGCUCGUUUUGACGGAACUCGGCACGACUUACGAGGGAUGUGGUAUGUUACAGAAAGAAGGGUCCGAUGCAGGGGAGGGGUACCGGGGAGUGGGUUUGGGUUGGGUUUCGGUAAGGGUUAGGGUUAGGGUUUUAUUAUUGCUCAAGUAAAUUUAUUUAAUAUUUAAAUAUUAGUAGGUAAAGAUAUAAAGUUUAAACAAUUGCCGCUAAAGUAUAAUUAAAUAUUAAUUAAUAGCGGCCAUUUCAUAAUCGCCAUUAUUAAAUUGCCGCUAAAAGGUAAUUUUG
rnacentral:lncRNA from 1 species